rnacentral:rRNA from 1 species
AGAUUGAACGCUGGCGGCAGGCCUAACACAUGCAAGUCGAGCGGUAGAGAGGUGCUUGCACCUCUUGAGAGCGGCGGACGGGUGAGUAAAGCCUAGGAAUCUGCCUGGUAGUGGGGGAUAACGCUCGGAAACGGACGCUAAUACCGCAUACGUCCUACGGGAGAAAGCAGGGGACCUUCGGGCCUUGCGCUAUCAGAUGAGCCUAGGUCGGAUUAGCUAGUUGGUGAGGUAAUGGCUCACCAAGGCGACGAUCCGUAACUGGUCUGAGAGGAUGAUCAGUCACACUGGAACUGAGACACGGUCCAGACUCCUACGGGAGGCAGCAGUGGGGAAUAUUGGACAAAUGGGCGAAAGCCUGGAUCCAGCCAUGCCGCGUGUGUGAAGAAGGUCUUCGGAUUGAAAGCACUUUAAGUGGUAGGAAGGCAUUAACCGUAAUACGUUAGUGUUUUGACGUUACGACAGAAUAAG